rnacentral:rRNA from 1 species
AUUGAACGCUGGCGGCAGGCUUAACACAUGCAAGUCGAGCGGGGAUGAGGUGCUUGCACCUUAUCUUAGCGGCGGACGGGUGAGUAAUGCUUAGGAAUCUGCCUAUUAGUGGGGGACAACAUUCCGAAAGGGAUGCUAAUACCGCUUACGUCCUACGGGAGAAAGCAGGGGAUCUUCGGACCUUGCGCUAAUAGAUGAGCCUAGGUCGGAUUAGCUAGUUGGUGGGGUAAAGGCCUACCAAGGCGACGAUCUUGAGCGGGUCUGAGAGGAUGAUCCGCCACACUGGGACUGAGACACGGCCCAGACUCCUACGGGAGGCAGCAGUGGGGAACAUUGGACAAUGGGGGGAACCCUGAUCCAGCCAUGCCGCGUGUGUGAAGAAGGCCUUAUGGUUGUAAAGCACUUUAAGCGAGGAGGAGGCUACUGAGACUAAUACUCCUGGAUAGUGGACGUUACUCGCAGAAUAAGCACCGGCUAACUCUGUGCCAGCCGCCGCGGUAAGAC